AUCUCUCCCUUUUUCUCUUCUACUUCCCUCGUUGCUGUUCCACGGGUUAAUUCUUGACGCGCACGCUUUCGAUAACAAGGUUGUUUCAAGUGGCACUCCCGAGCUUGCUCUGGGGUUUGCCUGCCCCGAGCAACUAUAUCGAGUGUUCCGCUGUUUAACUUAAUUGCCGCUAGCUGCUACUUCGCGAUUGCUCUCUUUUCAUACAGAGAGCAGAUUCGUCGCUUAGUUAGUUAAUGUGCAAAGUGGAAUUUGAUUGCGUGUUUUUUUCAGUGCCUUUGAAUGCCUAGAGACUGUGAUUGGAUCAUGUUAGAGAUUCUGAUUUGAAUUGUACGAGAUUCCCUUUUGGUUAUGUAAGAGAAUUAAGUAACAGUUUGGCAAUUGCAAUCUCCUCCAAUGGAGAAAAAGGAGAAAAAGUGAGAUCACAGGGCGUCUAUUCCAGGAAUCACUCUCGACGGAAGUUACUGUGGAAUCCGUCGGUGGUAAUUCGAGGUGAACGAAACUGAAGUGGGCUCGAAUUACUAGGGAACUAUUAAUGAAACAGGGAUUAAAAGAAAGAAGCUGGCCAACGCAAUGGGGGGAACAGAUGGGUUCGUCGAGCGUUCGUGAAUGGAAAGAAUCGCUGCUUUUUCGCUAUUCACGCGGUAUAGUUGUCUGUGACGAUGGUUUUGAAGGUUCCUGAUCGCGCUGCCUUUCAUUCGGAUAUUUGAGAUGAUACUUAUUCAAAAUGGACAUAAUACUGAUAUCAAAAAGAAUAUCAAAGGAACGUUUAACAAAAUAUUAAAGAAGAACUUAUUCAAUAUUUGUGUAAUAUUGAUAGAUAUUUUUUCAAUAUUACAGAAACUAUACGUAUAAAAAGGAACUCAAAGAGGAAGGGAGGAGAAUGUUGGGAAAGUCUGUCGAAGGUCGUCGAUAAUAGUUUCCAAUACUUGCCCAGUAUUUUGCGGUAACGAGACCCGUAACGACCGUCGUGCAAGAAAUAAACGAGUCGGAUUAUAGUUUUCCGUUUCGCUUAAACUCAAUCACUCCUGCAGAAAUACAAGUUUCGAGCGGUUCGGUAACGACGGAUCGAAGAAAUUUUUAAAGAGCCAAGAUUGACCGCGUUGAAGUCACCGCGAGUCUCUCCAAUCCUCUUCAACUAGACGUCUGUACACUGUACCGUACACGUGUACAAGCAAAUUGAAGUACGGUAGAACGUUCGACGAUAAUUUGCUCCAAUAAGUUUGAAAUAACGGUUCAGCAUUCUAAUGGAAAAUAUCAUUUGGUGGUAGUCUAAUAAUACAAUGGCAAAUAAGUCGCGCUUCUGAACAAAUGAAAAGCGGAAGAACCGACCAAUAAUUCACGGGGUGGUAUCGAUCGAGCACGUGACUCUCCGGCACGAAUUCCAACGUUGUUGAAAAUGAUAUUAAUGACGAUCGACGUCGUCAGGGGAAAGGAAUGCAAUAUCGCCGCCGCUGGUGUUAAUGUAGCCGCUGGCUGCGACCAAUAGAAAAUUCCACGCUGAAGAAGCUUUUACCCGCGUGGUAUCAUGAACACAGCAUUGUCGUCGGAAGGAUUACCAGACAGUUAUUAAAAUAUCAUUCUUCCACGGUGACCCCACAGCCUCCAACAGGGAGAUUCACCCUCACGCGCUAGACGUCAUGGGGGCGACUUCACGUUGGCUGUCUUCCUGCCUCCUUUUCAACGUAGCUGGCGUAACAAUGUGUGUGUUUCGCGUGUCCUUGAAACCAAGGGAGGUCUCCGAUGAUGGCGUGGGUGUAUUCGCAAGUCACGUUUCACAAGGAGUAAAAGGAAAGGAACGUUUAUAAUGCGAGUAAUUGAAAGUUAGUCCAUCCUUAUUCCAAUAGCAACUUUAUAGUAACUACAGAAAGUACCUAUUCGUACAGCAUUGUAUCUAUUAUAGCAUUUAUACGUUGUAAUUACUAGGCUGCGGAUUUUUAUGCAAACGUGUAUUUUUAUGCAGAUAAUUAGAGAUAUAAAACCUACAUAAAGAUUUAUUAUGAGAUGCGUAAAUUUUAUAAUGGCUACUAUACAGCAGAUAUUUUUUAUAUUCAUAUUCAUUAGGUGAAUUUAUAAAUUUUUCAUAUUCGCAUAAAGAUCCGCAGUCUGGUAAUUAAUUAGUUUCCAUUAAUUAGGUUCAAUGUUUCAUUGGAAAAUAAAGGUAUGUGCAAAUACA